AUGGAUGAAAAUGCUUGGAGCAGGGAUAAAAUCCAAGCUUUUUACGAGUAUGUCCUUAAAGAGAGGGAAUCGCUGAGGGUAACUGAUGAUGUGCUUCGACAGUGUUGGACGCUCCUUCAGGUAGUGACCUCUUUGAAUGAUUUAACUCCCUCAUCGCUCAACUUGCAGAGUCUUUUGAGUAACCCCAAUGUCCAAUCGCUGUGUUUGGGACAACAUGAGUUUUGGCCACGUUUAGGUGCCACACUUCUCAAUGCAGCCCCGUCGCAUUAUGUCACCGAUUUAAUGGCCCAGUUAGUCGAUCGUAUUUAUGAUAGUGGAAGUUUGAUGCACCAUGAGUUGUUAGAAAAAAUCUGGGAAAAAAGAGGUGAGAUGAAGCUAUCUAUGAGAGCUCUAGAGCAAAUAUUGAAAACACAUCCGUCCUUGCUAGAAGCCUCAUUAUCGAAAUUACUUCUGAAAGAAAAUGACUGCCUUUCAGCCAAGGCGCUCUGGAGCCAACCUCGUCACACAGCCAUUGUUCGCCUGGCUGCUGAGUCACCAGAAGUCUUCCAAGCAGCAACUAGCAUCAUGAACGAAAUCCUUAUCCGAACAAACCUUGCUGCUCACAUCGUGGAAUUAAUCCGAAUGUUUAUAAGAGGAGUAAGGUCAGUACAUAAAGCAGAUCUCAAUGCCUUUGUUUCAUUGUACCCGCUUCACGUCCAGUUUCUAGUCAUGUUCUUGUCGACAAAAGGCGGGAUGCAUCUAAAAGUGAAUCAGAAAAAUUGA
rnacentral:lncRNA from 1 species